GACGUAGGGAGCAAGCGUUGUUCGGAUUUACUGGGCGUAAAGGGCGCGUAGGCGGUGGGGUAAGCGUGCGGUGAAAGCUCGGGGCUCAACCCCGAGUCGGCCGUGCGAACUGCUCGACUGGAGCCUGUCAGAGGCGGGUGGAAUUCCGGGUGUAGCGGUGGAAUGCGUAGAGAUCCGGAAGAACACCGGUGGCGAAGGCGGCCCGCUGGGACAGAGCUGACGCUGAGGCGCGACAGCGUGGGGAGCAAACAGG
rnacentral:rRNA from 1 species